rnacentral:rRNA from 1 species
GUCGGCCUGCGCGGAAGAUGUAACGGGGCUAAACCAUGCACCGAAGCUGCGGCAGCGACACUAUGUGUUGUUGGGUAGGGGAGCGUUCUGUAAGCCUGUGAAGGUGUGUCGUGAGGCAUGCUGGAGGUAUCAGAAGUGCGAAUGCUGACAUAAGUAACGAUAAAGCGGGUGAAAAGCCCGCUCGCCGGAAGACCAAGGGUUCCUGUCCAACGUUAAUCGGGGCAGGGUGAGUCGACCCCUAAGGCGAGGCCGAAAGGCGUAGUCGAUGGGAAACGGGUUAAUAUUCCCGUACUUGGUGUUACUGCGAAGGGGGGACGGAGAAGGCUAUGUUGGCCGGGCGACGGUUGUCCCGGUUUAAGCGUGUAGGUGUGUGUUCCAGGUAAAUCCGGUUCACUUUAACACUGAGGCGUGACGACGAGGCACUACGGUGCUGAAGCAACAAAUGCCCUGCUUCCAGGAAAAGCCUCUAAGCAUCAGGUAACAUCAAAUCGUACCCCAAACCGACACAGGUGGUCAGGUAGAGAAUACCAAGGCGCUUGAGAGAACUCGGGUGAAGGAACUAGGCAAAAUGGUGCCGUAACUUCGGGAGAAGGCACGCUGACACGUAGGUGAAGUGAUUUACUCAUGGAGCUGAAGUCAGUCGAAGAUACCAGCUGGCUGCAACUGUUUAUUAAAAACACAGCACUGUGCAAACACGAAAGUGGACGUAUACGGUGUGACGCCUGCCCGGUGCCGGAAGGUUAAUUGAUGGGGUCAGCGCAAGCGAAGCUCCUGAUCGAAGCCCCGGUAAACGGCGGCCGUAACUAUAACGGUCCUAAGGUAGCGAAAUUCCUUGUCGGGUAAGUUCCGACCUGCACGAAUGGCGUAAUGAUGGCCAGGCUGUCUCCACCCGAGACUCAGUGAAAUUGAACUCGCUGUGAAGAUGCAGUGUACCCGCGGCAAGACGGAAAGACCCCGUGAACCUUUACUAUAGCUUGACACUGAACAUUGAGCCUUGAUGUGUAGGAUAGGUGGGAGGCUUUGAAGUGUGGACGCCAGUCUGCAUGGAGCCGACCUUGAAAUACCACCCUUUAAUGUUUGAUGUUCUAACGUGGACCCGUGAUCCGGGUUGCGGACAGUGUCUGGUGGGUAGUUUGACUGGGGCGGUCUCCUCCUAAAGAGUAACGGAGGAGCACGAAGGUUGGCUAAUCCUGGUCGGACAUCAGGAGGUUAGUGCAAUGGCAUAAGCCAGCUUGACUGCGAGCGUGACGGCGCGAGCAGGUGCGAAAGCAGGUCAUAGUGAUCCGGUGGUUCUGAAUGGAAGGGCCAUCGCUCAACGGAUAAAAGGUACUCCGGGGAUAACAGGCUGAUACCGC